rnacentral:rRNA from 1 species
ACUUAUAUCAGAAUAAAAAGGUUUGUCUGAUCUCAGAAGCUAAGCAAGGCAGAGCCUGGUUAGUACUUGAAUGGGAGACCACCUAGGAAGACCAGGUGCUGUAGGCA